rnacentral:rRNA from 1 species
AUUGAACGCUGGCGGCAGGCUUAACACAUGCAAGUCGAGCGGAGAUGAGGUGCUUGCACCUUAUCUUAGCGGCGGACGGGUGAGUAAUGCUUAGGAAUCUGCCUAUUAGUGGGGGACAACAUUCCGAAAGGAAUGCUAAUACCGCAUACGCCCUACGGGGGAAAGCAGGGGAUCUUCGGACCUUGCGCUAAUAGAUGAGCCUAUGUCGGAUUAGCUAGUUGGUGGGGUAAAGGCCUACCAAGGUGACGAUCUGUAGCGGGUCUGAGAGGAUGAUCCGCCACACUGGGACGGAGACACGGCCCAGACUCCUACGGGAGGCAGCAGUGGGGAAUAUUGGACAAUGGGCGGAAGCCUGAUCCAGCCAUGCCGCGUGUGUGAAGAAGGCCUUUUGGUUGUAAAGCACUUUAAGCGAGGAGGAGGCUACCUGGAUUAAUACUCUAGGAUAGUGGACGUUACUCGCAGAAUAAGCACCGGCUAACUCUGUGCCAGCCGCCGCGGUAACAC